rnacentral:rRNA from 1 species
CAGCAGCCGCGGGAAUACGUAGGUCCCGAGCGUUGUCCGGAUUUAUUGGGCGUAAAGGGAGCGCAGGCGGUUUAGUAAGUCUGAAGUUAAAGACAUUGGCUCAACCAAUGUAUGCUUUGGAAACUGUUAGACUUGAGUGCAGAAGGGGAGAGUGGAAUUCCAUGUGUAGCGGUGAAAUGCGUAGGUAUAUGGAGGAACACCGGUGGCGAAAGCGGCUCUCUGGUCUGUCACUGACGCUGAGGCUCGAAAGCGUGGGUAGCGAACAGGAUUAGAUACCCCUGUAGUCCCUGUCUCUUAUACA